UACGGAAGGCAGCAGUGGGGAAUAUUGCACAAUGGGCGCAAGCCUGAUGCAGCCAUGCCGCGUGUAUGAAGAAGGCCUUCGGGUUGUAAAGUACUUUCAGUCGUGAGGAAGGUGUUAAGGUUAAUAACCUUAGCAAUUGACGUUAGCGACAGAAGAAGCACCGGCUAACUCCGUGCCAGCAGCCGCGGUAAUACGGAGGGUGCGAGCGUUAAUCGGAAUUACUGGGCGUAAAGGGCACGCAGGCGGUUAAUUAAGUUGGAUGUGAAAUCCCCGGGCUUAACCUGGGAAUGGCAUUCAAGACUGGUUAGCUAGAGUCUUGUAGAGGGGGUUAGAAUUCCAUGUGUAGCGGUGAAAUGCGUAGAGAUGUGGAGGAAUACCGGGUGGCGAAGGCGGCCCCUGGGACAAAGGACUGACGCUCAUGUGCGAAAGCGUGGGGAGCAAACAGGAUUAGAUACC
rnacentral:rRNA from 1 species